rnacentral:tRNA from 1 species
CCCUCGGUGGUGCGAACAGUUAAGCACUGGGCUGCUAACCAAAAGAUUGGUGGUUCGAGUCCACCCAGAGGCA